UACGUAGGGAGCGAGCGUUAUCCGGAUUUACUGGGUGUAAAGGGCGUGUAGGCGGGAUGGCAAGUCAGGCGUGAAAACUAUGGGCUCAACCCAUAGCCUGCGUUUGAAACUGUCGUUCUUGAGUACUGGAGAGGCAGACGGAAUUCCUAGUGUAGCGGUGAAAUGCGUAGAUAUUAGGAGGAACACCAGUGGCGAAGGCGGUCUGCUGGACAGCAACUGACGCUGAGGCGCGAAAGCGUGGGGAGCAAACAGG
rnacentral:rRNA from 1 species